rnacentral:rRNA from 1 species
GAGUUUGAUCCUGGCUCAGAUUGAACGCUGGCGGAAUGCUUUACACAUGCAAGUCGAACGGCAGCAUGGAGAGCUUGCUCUCUGAUGGCGAGUGGCGAACGGGUGAGUAAUAUAUCGGAACGUGCCUAGUAAUGGGGAACAACUAAUCGAAAGGUUAGCUAAUACCGCAUACGACCUACGGGUGAAAGCAGGGGAUCUUCGGACCUUGCGUUACUAGAGCGGCCGAUAUCUGAUUAGGUAGUUGGUAGGGUAAAGGCCUACCAAGCCGACGAUCAGUAGCUGGUCUGAGAGGACGAUCAGCCACACUGGAACUGAGACACGGUCCAGACUCCUACGGGAGGCAGCAGUGGGGAAUUUUGGACAAUGGGGGCAACCCUGAUCCAGCCAUUCCGCGUGAGUGAAGAAGGCCUUCGGGUUGUAAAGCUCUUUCGCAAGAGAAGAAAUCUUACUAUCAAAUAAAUAGUAAGGAUGACGGUAUCUUGACAAGAAGCACCGGCUAACUAUGUGCCAGCAGCCGCGGUAAUACAUAGGGUGCGAGCGUUAAUCGGAAUUACUGGGCGUAAAGGGUGCGCAGGCGGUUUUGUAAGUCAGAUGUGAAAUCCCCGAGCUCAACUUGGGAACUGCGUUUGAAACUACAAGACUAGAGUGUGUCAGAGGGGGGUAGAAUUCCACGUGUAGCAGUGAAAUGCGUAGAUAUGUGGAGGAAUACCAAUGGCGAGGGCAGCCCCCUGGGAUACACUGACGCUCAUGCACGAAAGCGUGGGGAGCAAACAGGAUUAGAUACCCUGGUAGUCACGCCUAAACGAGUCUACUAGUUGUUGGUGAGUAAAAUCAUGAGUACGCAGCUAACGCGUGAAGUAGACGCCUUGGGGAGUACGGUCGCAAGAUAAAACUCAAAAGGAAUGACGGGGGGCCCGCACAAGCGGUGGAUUAUGUGGAUUAAUUCGAUGCAACGCGAAAAACCUUACCUGGCCUUGACAUGUACCGAAUUUAGCAGAGAUGCUUUAGUGCUCGAAAGAGAACGGUAACACAGGUGCUGCAUGGCUGUCGUCAGCUCGUGUCGUGAGAUGUUGGGUUAAGUCCCGCAACGAGCGCAACCCUUGCCAUUAAUUGCCAUCAUUUAGUUGGGCACUUUAAUGGGACUGCCGGUGACAAACCGGAGGAAGGUGGGGAUGACGUCAAGUCCUCAUGGCCCUUAUGGCCAGGGCUUCACACGUAAUACAAUGGUCGGUACAGAGGGACGCCAACCCGCGAGGGGGAGCCAAUCCCAGAAAGCCGAUCGUAGUCCGGAUUGUUGUCUGCAACUCGACAGCAUGAAGUCGGAAUCGCUAGUAAUCGCGGAUCAGAAUGUCGCGGUGAAUACGUUCCCGGGCCGUGUACACACCGCCCGUCACACCAUGGGAGUGGGUUUUACCAGAAGUAGUUAGUCUGACCGCAAGGGGGACGAUUACCACGGUAGGAUUCAUGACUGGGGUGAAGUCGUAACAAGGUAACC